rnacentral:piRNA from 1 species
UGCAACAGACAGACAAGUAGCCUGAGA